UACACAAGUGGUCGAGCGAAACACUGUCAUCCCCACUCGCCUCUCCUUUGCUCUUUCAUCUAGCGGCUAGGGUUGCCGCCGCCGCCGCCACACCCACCUCCACCAUCCAUGCCCCUCCAGCCCCGGCCAUCAGAGAAGGCACCCUCCUGAGAAUCCCCAUGCGGUGCUGCCGUUCGGUGAGCGAGGAAGAGGAGAUUCAGAGGCUCGAGGAGCCAUUACCACCAGUGAAGAGGAUGCAGACGUCCUCCUUGAUAAGUAAGGGCUCGUUACUUUGCUCGGUCUAACCCGAGGGGAGGAGCGGGAAGUGGCGGUGGUGGUCUGGCCUAGUGGUGACCGGAUGAUAAAAAGUGGUCGGAGGCGCUGCGCCAAUCAGCCUGCAACAACGGCAAGACGGCGGAGUUUGGGCACCAGCGGUGCCAAAGGUGCGCCAGCUUCCUCAUGUAUCCCUUCGCCCUCGCCUGCCCGCCGUCUCCUUCCUGCCCCAGGUGCUGGGCUGCCAUCUCUCUACUCAGGCACAACGGCCUUCUGACAGAGCCAGACCUAUAACUGAUUACAAUGAGGUCACAUUGCAUUUCAUUCAGUGUGUACAGAUGCAUAUACAGAACACCAAAUCAAAGGUUGGCAGUCCCGCACACACCAAUUCUUCUGUAGGAACCCCAUUUUCCAAUAGCAUGAGCCAAGCAGCCACUCCAACCUUUGUGAAAUCUAACUCAAUAAGCUGCGCUGAGGUUGUCAGUGUCGCUCAAGGGAGACGCUGUUUUUGGCUGACACGACGUUGACGCCUCCCACAAGUUGAUUUGCUUCUUUGCAGGUACACCAAUUUUAAUCUUCCUCUAUGGAUGAUUGAAUUUCUAAAUAUGUUUAGAUAAACAAAGUGUAUACCAACUCUUUUCGAAUAAGGUGUUGACGCCAUCACAAAUAUUUAUUGCUUCUUUGUAGUUCAAAUGUUUUAUUAUAGUUUUUCCUUUCCUAUUUCUUUCUGUUGAGCAGCUACAAAAUUAAUCUGGUGGACAAAGAUUCUUUGUGAGCAUUAUCAUCACAGUGAUACUAAUUUCACCCCAAUUUUGGGGAAUGGAUCAUAUCAUAGCUUAGCAGUUGCAUUUGCUUCCAGCCCUUACAUGUAAAAACAUUUUUAAGCGUGAAUUAGUUGUUAUGAAGACCAUACAGAUUUGAUCAUCUUUUGCAUAAUAGAUUGUGCAAACAUUGAAAGAUGAAUGGUCUAGAACAGAUUAUAAGCUACCACAGUAUGUGCGGUGUGAACACGUGAAGCCCUGCCUUGAAGAUAUCAAUGUUGUAUUCAGUGAUUCAUAGGUAAUUCAAUCCGUGUUUUUCGUUUUUUAGUUUCUAUUGAACUGCGUAAUAUAUCUCCCUGGAAGUAUUAUGUUUAAAGCACCGGUUGAUGUUAUAUUUCAUUCUUUUCCUUUGUAGGAGCUCCUUGUGGUCGAUUAAAGAGUUGUACACUUCUUCUAAGAACUACUAUAUUUUUUUCUGUAUAUUAGGGUCUGUUUGGAUUGGUUCCUAUACUUGCCCAACCAAAUAAUUGGUGUUGACCGAGCGAUGGGCGUUUGUUUCGAUUGGCGCAGAUAAAUUGGCUCGCCCACCGCUCGUCAGCCCUCUGCGUUCAGUUUUCCGCCAAAUCAUUGGCAAGGCGGGGGCGGCCGAAACGUCCACCAAUUUUUUGGCAUCGGCAGAAUCCAAACAGCCUCUUAUUCUUUUCAUUCAAUUAAGAGUAUGAACUCAUGUUCCAGGAAUUGAAUGUGAUAGUUCAUGUUCAGCGGAUUUCGCUAGGAGAUACACACGGUGCUCACGAGCGCCUUGAGCAACAUGGAUCCGAUGUUUUUGAUGAAUCAUUUCACGAUUAGUUGAGGCUGCAGUGAAACAUUACUAUAUGUGACUAGUAUUUCUUUUCUUAAGUUGUUGCUGUUGUUUCUCAUUUCUGAAAUUUAUCUUUUGAUGCCUAAUUCAGACAACAUAGCACAGUACCUUUCUGCUAAAUUUUAUAAGUGACAAAAUAUGUUUCAGAUUCAUCACCGCCGCUUUCCGUUUUACUCUUUUUCUGAAGUAAAUAGCUUCAGUCUUCUGCUUCACAAUUUCCAGUGGGAAAAAUCAUAUUUCAUAUUUCUAACGCUAUAUUGUAUCAUACAAUGAACAGAGUGAAGAGAAUGACCAUCCAGAGUACAUAAUCCGCGGUGAACACAUGCCUUAUUUCUCACAGGAUCAUAAUCUACCAUGUAUCACCAUACUUCUUUAUCGACUGCCUUCAACUAUUCACUACAUCUGCUAGAUCAACAUUUAUUUCCUUUGCUGCUCAUUGCUCUCUUCUACUUUUGCUUACUCAAUGUUUCUUUUCUUUUGUACUGUUUACUUUCAACAUGUAAGGCUUUACAAAUUGCUUUCAUCAUCUUCUAUAUUUCAGAACUUUCACCUGUCUCAUUUCAAAAAUUAAUUUUCACCUAACUUAUAUGACUUCAUGUCUACGCCCCGCCUACGCUGUUAUAUAGCUUAAAUUUCUUUUCCCAAAUAAACAGUCACACUUACAGCUCCUGCAAACGGUACAUAACUUGCUUCUCACCUACAUUGAAUUGAUUGCAGAAACAUCUUGUGGGAUCCAGUACUUCGGAGAGCUUGAAGAUCAUUAUUACAGGGGUAAUGAGGUUAAGCUCUAUGAACACCAGGUAGACGCUCUCUUUGCUAUGUUCUGGCACAAGGAGCCAGACAUCAAAUACUACAUGUGCACAAUCAAUAAAACAUUUGCUAAGCCAGGCCACGACAUGAUACAAUAUACCAAAGACAACCUACUGGACUACAUUGAUCCGAACAAUGACACACUCAUGAUCAGACUUGCAGAUGCCCGUCUACACAUCGAAUGUCGCAUUAUGCUAGGAACUGACAAGAGGGCCACUAUAACCACCAGCUGGUCUGAGUUUUGUCGUUGUGCCAACAUUCGCGAAGGAGACAUAUGUGCUUUUCAUUUUAGGGUCACUUCAAAGCGCCGCGUGUUCUUACCGUGCACUGCCUCUAGAUCCACCAUCGAAGACACCGCAGUUCCUGUGUGAAUAUAAUCUAGCACAGUACUCUAAAUUAUGCUCGUGAUUAACCGAUGGUUUACUUUUGGACCCUGCUAUCUCAUGCUUUUGAAUAUCCGAAAGCUAUGUCGUUACCUAUGUAAACUCUACUAUUCUCAGUCAUGUGGUUUACAUCCACCUAAUCCAUAAUGGCACUCUUCUGUAUAUAUCUAUUAAUUUUUACUCCUAUUCUCUGCUUCAAAUGUCAGUUGCUUAAUUAACAGCAACAUCAAACAUGCUAACCAGAACAAAAAUGUAUAUAAAAGGUGCACCCACUAGCUGGCACCGUCCAGCUGCCCCUCAAGAGACGCGCCAUGGGCGCGCCCCAACCCCUAGUCCAAAACAAUAAGGUGUGGAUCAUGAGCGCCUUCUCGCAACAUCUACGUCUCCCUUCUAGUGUGUCGAGGUAAAACCGUCUCGCGAUAACACCUCCAUCAGGUAAAAAAAACAAUUUCCUUCCUCCUCUACGAAGCUAACCUGCCUAGUUGCUCGUCCUCCAGAUCUCUCUCCUCCACAUUCCCCUCCUUUUCUCUCUCCAUGGCCGCCGUCGGGCCGUGCCCCUGCCACCAACACGCGCGCGGAUGCAGGCGGGAGGAGGCACUUGGCUUGAGCAGGGCUGGUUUUCGCCGCGCUGUUGCUCCGUUGGCAUGGGUUGUCGUGGUGCUCCCCUCCUCUGCGGCCCGUCACCUGAAGGUCGCUGUUGCCGGUGACGAGGACCAAUGGGAGGUCGGCGCCGCCACGGAUCUGCUCCCCAUUCCCCUCGACGGUCGGUCUCUUGCUCCACUCCUCUCCCUGAUCCCCUUCCCUCUCGUGCAUGCCGCCUCAACUGAUGAUUAGAUGCGCCUUCUCUCCUUCGUGUUUGGUCUGAGCAGUGGAUUGCAGCACUCGUGAUUUAGCUUGUUUCAGGGAUGGAAUGAAUUGGGCAUCAGCAUCUAACACGCACACACAGAGGAUGAUUAUGUUUAUUAAGUCAACCAUGUAGUAGAAACCAGAGAGAACUAAACAGCCCACCCUCUGGGUUUGACAUGUGCUGAAGAAAAUACAGUUCUGGUUUUCAGGGAUGUCAUUCAAUAUCCGCUUAAAAUCUCUUGUAUUGUGAUAGCGCCAUGCAACUACUACCUUGCUAUUAUGCUAGAGUGGAAUGUCAUGAUCAAGAGUUCAAGACCGAGAUAUUCUACUGAAAACCAGCUGGCGUCUUUUAGAUGUUGGGCGCCACGAUGAAAAUUGGAUUUGUUUAGUGUCCACAACUCUAGACAUGGAUCUCAUCUACCUCGUUUGUAUGGUAAUGGUUCAAGGGUUAAAUUUCUGUUCUUGGUAAUUUGUUGAGUAUGUCUAUCUAAUGAGCAUUGAAUUUGUAGGUUUUUUGUAUUCUGAUUCGGUUAAGAUAAUUAAAGAAUGAUUGUUACUUCGCCUACUAAUGUGUGGUUCAGUGUAGGGGUAUAUAUUGUACAGCGACAAGUUUGUAGGUGCCGAAUCAGGAUGGAUUAUAAUGGCGCAUAUGCAUUUUAAGUUUCCUCUCGCUUUUGUGUUCAAUCUUCUGCAUUUUUUUACCUACUAGGACCAAUUGAGGUCUAUGAGAUACUUUUUUUGCAGAUCAUCAGAAAGGCCUCCCGGUUCCAUUAUCAUGAAACCACCAAGUUACAGAAGUUCAAGGAUUACAACAAAAAGAAGCAAACUAGAGUUCAGAUAGCAGGGGAAUGAAAAGCUACAGGUCCAAGGCCUGGCCAAAAACACAAAGCCAGUAACGUUUGGGUAGGAACUACAUUUUAAUUUCUUUGGAAAGUGCUUUCACUGCUUCUAAUAUCUAAUUCCAAAAGAAAGGCACUGAGUCAGCAAUUACCGAGUCAGCAAUUACCGACGUGCUCUAAACUGUUAACAAAUUUAUUCUAUGGAGAAAAGUGACAAGUCUAAAACAGAGAAUGAUCUUUUUGGGUACAAGAGAGUUCUUGUGGAUGAAACUCAUCUGGUUUCUAUUGGUCGCCUUCCAGUUAUGGUUAAUUCAAAUUUAUGUUGGUUGCAUGGACUCAGGGAAAGUGACUGCCUUUUUUAUUCUGGUGGACACUUUUUGUCAGGGGAAUGGAGAAGGUAUUAUUCUACUGCUCUCUCUUAAUUUAAUUAAUGUAUCAUGUAAGGAUGUUGCAUUAUCAAAUGUUUUAAACACUUCUUUUGUCACUAAUAUGGAGUACAGAGCUGUGAGAUUUCUUAGUUUUGAAUUGAACUUUAUAUAUAUAUGUCACUAAGCCCAAAUGCCCUUAUAAAGCAUUAGUGCAAAUGCUACGGGAAUUAUUAUGAGCAAUUCUAAUACAUACACACGUAGUGCUAACAAAAGAGUAGACUGGUACCCUAGAAAAAAGAGUUUACACGAGUUCUGUGUGAAUUGGUCUACUUCCAUAUGUUGAACUCUUGUGUGUUAUCCCUGGUAUGCGAAUAUGAUCUCAGUAAGCUACAAUAUGUUAUUAUAACCACAUGAUAAAAUUAUGCCGAACUAGCUAAAUAGUACCUUUUUGCUGGUUCAUAUAAAGUCUAUUUUAUUGUCAGUUGUGACAGUUCAAACAGAUACAUGUAUUAUUUAUUUAGUUGGAUCUGGCUUAGCAGCAUAUGUGUUGCAGCAAUGAGGGAUCGUGAAAAGCAUAAAUGGUGCAGACAAUGUUAUACAAAUAUGCAUGCAUCAGAAGGCUGGUUAGCGACAGAUCUAUAAUCACUGUCUCAAGGAAUGAUCAAUUAGACAAGUGUGUUUCCACCAAAAGUAAGUUGAGAUUUAUUUCUGUUCAUCUUGGUUGUAUUUAAAAUAAGACUUUGGCAACAAUACGUAGUAUCUCUAAGUGAGGUAUUAGUUAAUGAUCAAUAAAUAAUCAGUUUGAUUUUAUUUUAACAAAUAAAGGCAUACAACUUUAUAUAUAUUCUGAAGCAGAAAAGCAAGAGUUGAGUUAUCAAUAUGCCUAAGGUUCAAGGUCACAAUAAUUCUUAUUUACAUGAGAAUAGAAGACAUGAGAUAUUUACCAUAACUCUAGACCUUUCCCACAAAUAAUAAUAAUGGUGUAAUACUGCAUAGGAGGAAGCCGUUUGGGCCUUUUACUGAUGGAUAUAUUUCUUACUUUUGAUCCUCACCAAUAAUCUCAGGAGAGGCAAGGUCGCUCGACUAGAUCAUGAAGACACUUUAGAUGGAGGCCUGAUCGUCGCUGCUCCUCUGGUUGUUGCAGUUUUAAGGGCUUAGACAGAUCGUCUGUAACUGAUGGAGUAUUAAUAGAAGCUGUCAUUCAUCGCCUGUAGAUAGAUCGUCAACGACCGCCGUCACCUGUCAGAGCCAUUAACUCAACCUUACCCUGUGAGGAACUGUACCUCCACUUUUGGACAGAAUGUAUGUCAUUAUCAAAACCGUGUCCCCUUCAUUUUGAACCAUCUAGCAUAUGUAUAAUGUAUAAUGCAUGGUUUAACCAGCUAUACAAUUGAUUGCUACUUAUCCAAA